UACAGAGGUCCCAAGCGUUGUUCGGAUACAUUGGGCGUAAAGGGUGCGUAGGCGGCGCGGUAAGUCGGGUGUGAAAUCUCGGGGCUUAACUCCGAAACUGCAUUCGAUACUGCCGUGCUUGAGGACUGGAGAGGAGACUGGAAUUUACGGUGUAGCGGUGAAAUGCGUAGAUAUCGUAAGGAAGACCAGUGGCGAAGGCGGGUCUCUGGACAGUUCCUGACGCUGAGGCACGAAGGCCAGGGGAGCAAACGGG
rnacentral:rRNA from 1 species